UAUCAUUUACUUUCAGCUUCUUUUAUAUUCUUCCAUGAUCACUAUAAAUAGCUAUCAGAAACUACAUUCUUUGUAUAUAUCUCACAGUAACUCUUAACCUAGUAGCAAACAUGAAUACCAAAACCACUUUCUUCUUUUGCUUCCUCUGCACGUUGCUUCUCAUCUCUGCUAUGGCAACUCAGCCAUCUAAACAUGCUACAAUGGGUAAGUAUACUGCAUCUCUUCUUCCUCAUAUCACCAAGAACCACUCUUCUACCAAUUAAUCUGCAUCUUUCUUUCUUGUUAAUUCUAUUAAAAUUUAAAAAUAUACGUGUUGUUAUAAAUUCAUUAGGUUUAAUAUUAUUAAAGAAAAUUGCUUUGCGUUAUAUUAAUUUGGACUUUAUCUCUCUUCUCUCAAUAUAUAAAUUUAAUGAUUAAAAAUUAUACUUUGAUGAUGAAAAUAUUGAUAGUAAAAGUUACACAUUUAAGUGAAAUUAAUUUGUUAAAUAUGAAAUCACAUUUUUAACUUUCACCAUCUAAAAUCUAUAAUGAUAAGAAGCUGAAAAUAAAUAUUAUUUUUAAAAGAUGCCACUAUAAGUGUAUAAAAAAAUUCAGGUACAUCUACAAAUAAUACGUUAUAUGAAAAGAUCAAAUUUUAUUUCAAGAAGAUGCGUUAUUUGAAAGCAAUAUUGAUAGUCAAACUAUUUAUAUUUUAAAAAAAAUUAAAAGUACUUAAAUAUCAUAUAGUAUAUAACAUUUAUUUGAAAACACAUUAAAUAAAUUUUUUAUUUAUUAUAUUGAGAGUGAAAUGUUAAAAAUAUUUGAUUAAAAAAAUAAAAAGUCAUUUAAAGAAAGCUUUGAAUAUAAAUUUCGUCUUACAUCUCAGAAUUUCUAAGCAUAGCCCUUGCAUGCAAUUAUGUUGUUUAAUUUAAAGACAUAGAAUGUAAGACACUUUUCUACAUAGUCUCUCUUAGGAUGCUAUAUCAUGAAUAUUAAUUAUCUAUCGUGUUACUGUAAAUUAGUGUUACGCUUAGUAGCUAUGCUCGUAAGUAUUAUAGAAAAAGAAGAAAAAAAAAUGAAAGAACCGAUAUUAUAUAUUAAAAUAUUUAAAAAUGUUUGUAUAUGCGUGUGCAUCAAAAGAAUCCGAGACAAAAGCAGGAUUAGAUGACUGGGGAAGAGAUGGUGGAGGACCCGGAGGAGGACCCAGAGGAGGCCCCGGAGGAGGACCCGGUGGAGGCCCCGGAGGAGGACCCAGAGGAGGACCCGGAGGAGGCCCCGGUGGAGGAGGACCCAGAGGAGGCCCCGGUGGAGGACCCAGAGGAGGCCCCGGUGGAGGACCCAGAGGAGGCCCCGGUGGAGGACCCGGUGGAGGACCCAGAGGAGGCCCCGGUGGAGGACCCGGUGGAGGACCCGGAGGAGGCCCCGGUGGCGGACCCAGAGGAGGCCACGGUGGAGGCCCCGGAGGAGGCCCCGGUGGAGGACCCGGAGGAGAUUAGGGACACGGCGGAGGUUGCGGAUGUGUGGUCAAAUAGGCUGCAAAUAACACGUGUAAUCCAUGUGAUGACUACUAUGUGAAAUAAGAAAUUAGAAAUAGAAGCAUGUAAUCUAUCUGUGCUAGGGUUACCCCUCGAUCAUCAUGCAUGUACUUGAAGCACGUCUUCUCAAUAUACCACCUUUUAAAAUAAUAAUAAAAUUAAAUAAAAAAAAAAGGAGUAGGCAUCAUUUAGAAUAAAUCCUCGCCUUUUAUAGAGUAUUUUCUACUUUUUAUGAAAUGUUAACUUUUUCAUGAAAUAUUAAAUUUA
rnacentral:lncRNA from 1 species